CGUGGGCCGCGGUCCUCCCCACGACAGGCUCAGCCACGGGCUUCUCUGCUCCCCACUGGGAAGGCCGUGGGGAGGAACCCAGAGCUGCCCAGAAUCAGAUCGUGAGGAAAGACAGGGUGUUAGGGGAGGCUGGGAAGGGCAGGAAAGAAAUAUCCCCCGAGCACCUACUCUCUGCUCGGAGAAGAUAAGCAAUCGCCCCAUGGUCGAAGUGUUGGACUUGAACUCAAGUCUUUCCCGCUUUUAGCUCUCACUCGUGUUGUUGCCGUCUUCUUUUCAUUCAUUUAUUCAUGCAUGCAUUCAUUCACUGGUCCAUUUUCUUGAACUCCAUAGGGAGUGGGAAAAGCAUAGAUCUCAGAACCCAGAUACCCCAGUUCUCUUUCCCGGCCAAGAACUCCAAGGAAAAUUGCUUUGCCUCGAUUCCCUUAUCACUUUAAAAAAACAUGACGACACCCACUGCUUAUUGUGAGGUUCCGCUAAGGAUCUAUGCGGAUGCGCUAGGAUCAGUGCGCAUGCGCAAACGUCUUCACCGCCCACAGCCCGCCUCAACGCAAGCGCACCCCUGGCAUAGCGGUCACCGAAAGCCCGAUGAGGUACCACAGUGCUUGCAUUCAAAAGUGCUCUGGCUGCACAGGGUCAGACAUACCACAGCUGCUUCUACUAGGGGGCAGAGGAGAAAAGAUCUAUGUGAGAAUAUACGAAUGUGCCGUGAGCGGUUCCAUUUGACUGGGUGAGGGAGCUUUCUGCCAAGAAGGGGCAUGUGAGUCCCACCAGCGGGGUAGAAGGAGAAGGGACAUCCAAGGGCUAAGUGGGGAGAGAACAGCAUCCGAAAAGGCAUGUAGACCUAAAGGUUCCCUGGGAAUAAUGAAGACAGAGUAGACCCAUGUCCCUGGGCAAGGAGACCGAGACGGGUCGGAGAAUCAGGACAGGCCCCCACUGACUUUGGCUGUUGCGCUGGAGGACUUGAACUUUAUCCUCUGGGCGUGGGGGAGCCGCGACCGUUUUCUGAGGACAGUUGUGACAUGCUUUGGCAAGGGUCUUGGGGACAUCACAAAGGAUGAACUAAAGGGGCUAUGAUAGGGAACAGAGGCCAGCUCAGAAGUCGUGCAGGUCCAGCCACGAGGUAAAGAACAGACAGAGCCAGAUAAAUGGACACCAGGUCAUUGAGCAUGUCCCACGUUUCCAGCACUUUCUGGACAUCUCUGUCGCCUUCAGUGGCGCUUUGAGUUAGGUGCUCUUGUUCUCAUCUUACAGGCGGGCUGUGUCCCUCUACUGACAGCCUGGCUCCUCAAGCUGCACUCUCCAGUCACCUCUCUCCAGGUUCUGGCAGCUGCUCCCUCUCUUGUCUGUUCAAGCCUGGGGGUGGGGACGGCACCCUGUUUUACUUUUUUACGUAUUUAUUUAUUUGGCUGCAUCAGGUCUUAGAUAUGGCACCCAGGAUCUUCGCUGUAUCAUGCAGGAUCUUUUGAUGCCGCGUUCAGACUGUCUGCUUGUGGCGUGGGCUUUGGUAUCUGCACCUUACAGGGCAGAUUCUUCACCACUGGGCCAUAGUAAAGUUUCAGCAUCCUAGUUUUAUUUUUUUUUUACAAAUGAAACUGUCUAUAGUGUCUGGACCUCAGGAGAGAGAGCAGCAGGCCCGCAGCUUGUAACGAGCACUGGUAAGGUCAUCACGGGGGUGGAUGAGCUUCCUGGAAGAGCAGAGGAUGAGGCCCGGGGACCAAGCUCCGGGGGAUGCUGACAUUUACGAGGCCUCAGAGGAUGGGCAGCCAAGAGUGCAGCUGAGACUUGAUGGCACUGGAGCCCCCUUUCAUGUUGUUACUCAUUCUGUCC